AAGGAAAUCCUCGGCAGUUAACUGCAGCCGGUUUCCACAAACUUCGGCAGUUAACUACCGAGGGGCAU
rfam:Medicago truncatula strain A17 chromosome 7, whole genome shotgun sequence.